UUCUCCUUUUACAUGAGUAUACAAAAGUAUAUAGAUAGGAAGAGAAAUGUUUCUUUAAAGAGUUUAUUCCCUUUAAUAAAGAUCACAUGAGAUCUAUGUUGAGAUAACUGAGUUGUCUACAAUGAGAUUCUUUGUGGUGACAUGACUUAUUGCAUUAAAGCAAAUCACAGUCUAAAUAUUUUUAGAUAAAAUGUGGGAAAGUAACUUUUGAGAAGGACAAAGUCAAUGACAUUCUGUGUGGGAAUGACAAUCUGUUUAUAGUCAACCUUCCAAAAGGACAAUCUGUUUAAACCAUCUUUCUCAACAAGAUAUGCAGUUUUUGUUGACUUGCUGAAAAAGUCAAAAGACUUCUAAUUUUAGGUCUAAUCAUAGUGCUAAGUUCUUGUGUAUUUUCUACUUUGCCCUUUCUUACUAGGGUUAAUCACUCCUUAGGUUUAAUUUAUAUUUUUGUUUAAUGCAUCAUAUCUGCUAUACUAUGCUGUCAGGGGCGCCGCCUAGGCGCUAUUUCUGAAGGGGGACGCUCCGCUGGGC
rnacentral:lncRNA from 1 species